UACCCAUUGUGCAAGCGUUAAUCGGAAUUACUGGGGCGUAAAGCCCGCGCAGGCGGAUAUAUAAGGACAGCAUGUGUAAAUCACCUCGGGAUUCAAACCUGAGGAGACUGUCAUUUCGUGAGCUGUAUAGCUACGAGUACGGCUAGAGGGUGGAUGGGAUUCCGCGUGUAGCAGUGAAGUGCGUACAUGUGCGGAGGAACACCGAUGGCGAAGGCAAUCCCCUGGACCUGUACUGACGCUCAUGCACGAAAGCGUGGGGAGGAAACAGGAUUAGAUUCCCUGGUAGUCCACGCCCUAAACGAUGUCAACUGGAUGUUGGGUCUUCACUGACUCAGUAACGAAGCUAACGCGUGAAGUUGACCGCCUGGGGAGUACGGACGCAAGGUUGAAACUCAAAGGAAUUGACGGGGACCCGCACAAGCGGUGGAUGAUGUGGUUUAAUUCGAUGCAACGCGAAAAACCUUACCCACCUUUGACAUGUACGGAAGUCGCUAGAGAUAGCUUCGUGCUCGAAAGAGAACCGUAACACAGGUGCUGCAUGGCUGUCGUCAGCUCGAGUCGUGAGAUGUUGGGAUAAGUCCCGCAACGAGCGCAACCCUUGUCAUUAGUUGCUACAUUCAGUUGGGCACUCUAAUGAGACUGCCGGUGACAAACCGGAGGAAGGUGGGGAUGACGUCAAGUCCUCAUGGCCCUUAUAGGUGGGGCUACACACGUCAUACAAUGGCCGGUACAAAGGGUUGCCAACCCGCGAGGGGGAGCUAAUCCCAUAAAACCAGUCGUAGUCCGGAUCGCAGUCUGCAACUCGACUGCGAGAAGUCGGAAUCGCUAGUAAUCGUGGAUCAGAAUGUCACGGAGAAUACGUUCCCGGGUCU
rnacentral:rRNA from 1 species